GACGAACGCUGGCGUCGUGCUUAACACAUGCAAGUCGAACGAUGAAGCUGGAGCUUGCUCUGGCGGAUUAGUGGCGAACGGGUGAGUAACACGUGAGAAAUCUGCCCUUGACUCUGGGAUAACUGCGGGAAACUGUAGCUAAUACCGGAUACUUUCCCUGGUGGGCAUCCACUGGGGAAGAAAGAAUUUCGGUCAAGGAUGAUCUCGCGGCCUAUCAGCUUGUUGGUGAGGUAAUGGCUCACCAAGGCGACGACGGGUAGCCGGCCUGAGAGGGUGACCGGCCACACUGGGACUGAGACACGGCCCAGACUCCUACGGGAGGCAGCAGUGGGGAAUAUUGCACAAUGGGCGCAAGCCUGAUCCAGCAACGCCGCGUGAGGGAUGAAGGCCUUCGGGUUGUAAACCUCUUUUAGCAGGGAAGAAGCGAAAGUGACGGUACCUGCAGAAAAAGCACCGGCUAACUACGUGCCAGCCGCCGCGGUAA
rnacentral:rRNA from 1 species